rnacentral:rRNA from 1 species
AUUGAACGCUGGCGGCAGGCCUAACACAUGCAAGUCGAACGAGUGGCGGACGGGUGAGUAAUGUCUGGGAAAAUGCCCGAUGGAGGGGGAUAACUACUGGAAACGGUAGCUAAUAACGCAUCCCAUCGUAUGUGCCCAGAUGGGAUUAGAUAGACGGUGGGGUAACGGCGCACCUAGGCGACGAUCCCUAGCUGGUCUGCGAGGAUGACCGGCCACACUGGAACUGAGACACGGUCCAGACUCCUAGGGGAGGCAGCAGGGGGGAAUAUUGCACAAGGGGCGCAAGCCUGAUUCAGCCAUGCCGCGUGUAUGAAGAAGGCCUUCGGGUUGUAAAGUACGUUCAGCGAGGAGGCGUUACUCGCAGAGGAAGCCCCGGCUAACUCCGUGCCAGCAGCCGCGGUAAUUC